GGAAAUAUGACCCUGGUCACCAAACCAACUCAGAGACAGCAAGUGCUUUGGCAAAGGAAAGGGCUGGCACAGAGAACAGAGUCGAUUUCUCAUUGUCUUCACCAAUCUUCUGAACCCGUGAAUACUUUUUGCAUGAUGAUUUGAAGCAGCCAGGAGGCCAAGACAGCGGCCAGGAGAAGCAGCAAGGAAUUGAGCCUUGUACAUUUUUCUCAAAAAAAUAAAAGAUGGGGAACCACCAUGCUCGAGAUAAGAAAUUAGUCUGUGAAGAGACCUUCAAGUUCUGUAAAUGAGCCCCCAGCUAUCAAUACAUUACAGCAGGAUGAGAAAGACCCAGGCCUUUGACAUCCCAGGCUUUGACAGGCCCAGGCUUGACAGUGUCUUGGCACAAUGUUGUGGGAAGAAUAAGCACAAUGAAGAGGUGCCUCAGGAAGAGGACACACUCAGCCACCCACCUCAUGGGACUGCUAUGAGAAUGACUGAAAUAAUUAAUUGUGAAGAGCUUUGUGCCCCUGGGAGUAAGAACACUAUGACACAACUGGAGAAACUGGUUAUUUUACCAAGGCUUAGGCUGGAAUGGUGUGCUUUCCUUUAAAGAAUCAAACUUGACUUAUGGAGCCAAUAAAAGCCUCUUGGGAAAACUGGCCUCAUACAUGUCUACACAGUCCCUGUAUAGGGUUCCUGACCUGUGAUAUAUUAUAAAACAAGAAAUUUAGUUCCAAUGUAUCCAAGCUGUCCCUUCGGAAGGUGAUCAGAAGAGAGAAAUGAGUUUGGAAAAGAAAAGGAAUAGCUGAACAAGAGCAAGUGAUUUCAGAAAUCUAAACCCUGAGAAAACAUGGGUAACAGAGAAGAACUUCUGCUGUGAUAUCUACUUCUGCAGGGAGUAGAGAAACAGAAGUAGAAGGUAAAUCUGAGAUGAGCACAGAGAUAUCAAGUGAAUUGCCCAAGGUCACCAACUAGUAAGCAGUGAAGCCAGCAUUUGGUACUUUGGUAGCUCUGACUCGGCAGGCUGUUCUACCCCUCUUUGGGAAAAGCGUCGCAAAUGAGCACACAGCUUCAGGGUGAAUUCUUACAGCAAAGAAAAGGAAAUGGGAUAGCACAGCCCUGCUAUGUCAGAAGAACCAACAUCAGACAUCAGUGGAUUCUCAUAGCAACAUCUCCCCACUGCUUCCUCUUGACACACAGGAAAAAUGUUCCAGAAUCAACUGGGAAGACUGGCAUUUCAUUUAUAAAUGUAAUUCCCAGGCUGGGUCGGUAACUCCUCCAAUCUUUCCAAUUACGUUCAUUUCAGAUAUAGGGGACAGAAAUGCUCCAGAAAAGAACUAGACCAUAUUUGGAGGAGGAGAGAAGGAGUACACCCUUCAUCUGUGUUGUGAACUAUGUGGAGGAGAGUAGUAUGUUACAGUACAGAGAGUCUUGGGGAGGCCAUGUGCAUGUGUCUUCAGGCCUCCACCUCCUUUCAACUUGAGGAGCUCUGCUUUUCCUUCUAUUUUAGAGGGGUUACCCAAAAUCUCAUCUGAAAUCUGGGUUCCAUGGCUAAAGAAGUUUAAAAACUGAUAGUGCCAUGACAAAGCCCUGGAUCAGAAGUCACAAAACAAGAAUCCAAGAAUCUCUCUCUCAGUUUGGCCACAAACAAGUCAUGAUUAAUCCUGGGCCAACUACUUCCUUGGGAAACACCACCAUCUCUCAGUCAGCAAAGACAGAACCAGAGAGAGAGACUCUGCAAGUUCAGGAAGAAAGGUUCCAACUACUUUUACUCUCCGUUGCAUCUCCUAAUGUCACCACUUCCUCAGAGCAGGGUUUAGUCACUACUACAAAACAUUGCUCAGGAACUGCAGAGCCACUAGCCUGGCAUGUGGUGACACAUUCCCAACACAAUUCUCUAACAUUCUGAUUUCCCUUGCAAAGAUAAAUUCAAGCGAACUUAGAACUCUUAAAGAUCAGAUUGAGAUUGAAUGCCAUUGGCUUUCUCCCCAUACCUAUGCUCCUACACAUCUCUUCAGCCCAGCACAGGGUUUUAAAAGCUCACUGCUUAACACAGGGCUAUCUCCUCUGCUGGUUAUGAGCUGCAAGGAUAGAGUCCAUGUCCUGUUUGUGUUGGUGUUCCUGGCCACUAGCCAAGAACCUGCAGCCCAGCCCUAGAAUAGCAGUUGAAUGAAUGUGGCAGCCCACACACUCAAAGACACCAGAAUUAUCUUACCCUUUCCCAGAGAGCUUCAGGUACCUUUCUUUUCCUAAAUGAGUCACUAAUGUGUCUGUAUAAAUAUGGUUUCCAUAUAUGUCACAGAGCCCAAACAUUUCAUCUGACUUACUGUGGUUUACUUUUUGUGACUGCAUUUUUAUUAUAUCUUAUAUAAAAAGGGGGAUAUAACAGAAGGAAAAAACAGUAAAGCAAAAACCCAUAUCUAGCUUCAGAGCAUUACAUAUCCACUGGAAGCCCUAAAGCAAUGCUCCAUGAUCGCAUGGCCUUUCCGCUGCAUAACCCUGAGGUCAUUUUUUGAUACAUAAUUCUCAAAGUAUGCAGUGCUGAAAGACCUUGAAGAGCUUUCUUAAAUGAUGUUAUGGUUAAAAUUUCUAUGAUUGCAGUCCUUGAAAUCAUAAAAGAAUAAAUACAUCCUUGG
rnacentral:lncRNA from 1 species